GUGGGGAAUAUUGCGCAAUGGGGGAAACCCUGACGCAGCGACGCCGUGUGAGGGAAGAAGGCUUUCGGGUCGUAAACCUCUGUCAGGAAGGAAGAACCUCUCAAGGCUGAACAAGCCUUGGGACUGACGGUACUUCCAGAGGAAGCACCGGCUAACUCCGUGCCAGCAGCCGCGGUAAUACGGAGGGUGCAAGCGUUAAUCGGCAUCACUGGGCGUAAAGCGCGCGUAGGCCGUCUUUUAAGUCGGACGUGAAAGCCCUCGGCUCAACCGGGGAACUGCGUUCGAUACUGCGAGGCUUGAGUCCUGGAGAGGGUGGCGGAAUUCCGGGUGUAGGAGUGAAAUCCGUAGAUAUCCGGAGGAACACCGGUGGCGAAGGCGGCCCCCUGGACAAAGACUGACGCUCAGGUGCGAAAGCGUGGGGAGCAAACAGGAUUAGAAACCCGGGUAGUCC
rnacentral:rRNA from 1 species